AACGAACGUUGGCGGCGUGGAUGAGGCAUGCAAGUCGAACGCGAAAGCCGCAAGGUGAGUAAAGUGGCGGACGGGCGAGUAACACGUAAUCAAGCUACCUGUGAGACGGGGAUAACUUCGGGAAACCGAAGCUAAGACCCGAUGGCCUUAGGAGACCGCAUGGUUUCCUAAGUAAAUGGGCGGGACCUUUCGGGGUCGCCUGCUCGCAGAGGUGAUUGCGGCCCAUCAGCUAGUUGGUAGGGUAAUGGCCUACCAAGGCAACGACGGGUAGCCGGCCUUAGAGGGUGGUCGGCCGCACUGGGACUGAGACACUGCCCAGACUCCUACGGGAGGCUGCAGUCGAGAAUCUUCCGCAAUGGGCGAAAGCCUGACGGAGCGACGCCGCGUGGAGGAUGAAGGCC
rnacentral:rRNA from 1 species